UACGAAGGGGGCUAGCGUUGUUCGGAAUUACUGGGCGUAAAGCGCGCGCAGGCGGUCUUCCAAGUCAGUGGUGAAAGCCCGGAGCUCAACUCCGGAACUGCCAUUGAAACUGUGAGACUAGAGUACGAGAGAGGUGAGUGGAAUUCCCAGUGUAGAGGUGAAAUUCGUAGAUAUUGGGAAGAACACCGGUGGCGAAGGCGGCUCACUGGCUCGUAACUGACGCUCAGGCGCGACAGCGUGGGGAUCAAACAGG
rnacentral:rRNA from 1 species